ACCAACCAAAAUGCAUCUGAACUUCAGAACGGAAAACCUAACACAGUAGCAGAACAGAUACUCAACUGUAAAGACAGUCCACCGAACAAGGGACACUUCAAAAUCCCUAUCAGACAGAAUGAGAGAGAUUUAGGUGCUCGUAAACCUAAAACGAUAAUACUGAGAAACCCCAAGAACUGGAAACAAGCUUUGACGGUUUUAAUUUGGGAUAUGUAUUUACACAUGAAUUACUGAAUUAACCAUCAGCAAGAAAUGUUAUAAUAUAGUAAAUAACGUAAGUUGCAGUGAACUAAGAUUUUAAUAUCAAACAACUGUUAUUAGAAAACAGACUUGAAACAUGAGUUUAACGUUCAGCAGAAACUUACUUUAGUGAUAAUCCUUAUCGAACCAGCAUCCUUCUAGCCUAUCCUCAGCUAGUAAUAUUUAACUUCCUAUUACAAGGAACUUAGGAACAUCUCUUUCUAUUCUUGACUGUCCAAUCAGAGACCAUAGAAAUGAAGACAGCUUUUUUACAAUUUAACUUCUGCAGGAAACAUCGUCUAUUGGUUAAACGUUAGAAGUAUUCUUGAGAUCUACUGAAUCCCACCCAAACCGUUUCGUAACCAGAUCUCAUUGUUACUUAUAAAUAUAAAAGAAACGAAUUUUUACAGAGCUGAAAACUCCCUAUCGGAAAUCUAGAGAACAUCAACCAAAAGGUGGGUUAUUUGCGGUGAAGGAUGAAAACGACACUUGUUGUAGUUCUUGUCGUCUGCUUGUUGUUGGGUUGUUUCAUUCUUCCUGCAGUUGAAGGUCAGAGGAUUAGAAUAUCAGAACAUAGAAGAUAUGGUGGAGGGAUUAGUGGAGGAUAUGAUGGAGAAUAUCGUGGCAAUGGAAGCUAUCAGGGAUAAAUAAAGGAGGUUAUAAACAUCAACAGUUUAAGAUAAUCAGACCAGGAAUUUACAAGAGACUUGUCAUAUUGGAUUAUGUAUUUUAUAAGAAAUGUUUACAGAAACUUGUUAUAUCUGGUGUAGGUUUUAUUUUGUAAAGUAGAAUACUAGACAACCCAUAGAAUAGUUUUACAGUCAAUAAACUGUAAGUGAAUAAACAGUUGUAUACUUCA